GUAUUAGGUUGGUGCAAAAGUAAUCACGGUUUUUGCCAUUACUUUCAAUGGCAAAAACCACGAUAACCUUUGCACCAACCUAAUACAA
ensembl:miRNA